GGUUCUGUAGUGUAUUGGCUUAUCACUCGAGAUUUUGAUCUGUGGCAAUGUGAAGUAUUUCAGCUUUCUCGCAACCCCGGUUCGAACCCGGGUAGGACCU